AACACAAAAACCGCCGGUUCGAUUCCUCUCUUUCCACUUCCCUUUUUUUUGGAGGCCACGAUCUCAUAACACCAAAACACAGCUCUCCACCCCUACACUUUCAGAAUCCAGAUUCCAGAGGAGAGAAAGAAGCUGAGGAAAGGGAGGGUCUGCUAGAGAGAGAGACGGAGUAGGCUUCUGGCAGGCCUCCGGCGGCAGCAACGGUGGUUAAACGGUCCAAAUGAUGGUGGAUUCAAUUGACAUUAGGGUUCAGGUGUUUAGCAACGGCGAUGAUGGUGGAUCUAGAUAUUGAACACGGUGACGUUUGUUAGGGUUCCGCCGUACACGGCGGAGGAGAUGGUGGGUCACCGGCGCCAUCAUGGAGAUCCGCUGAUGAACCAGGAACCCGAACUCCGGUGGACGCAAUGAACAGUACAAAACAGUAUAUGAGGGCAAUAAAAAAGGUCUCCACCAGCACACCCCUGUUUAUCUUCUUCAUUUGGCAAAAGAGAAAGACAGGAAAGCCGAUCAAAUCCACCGCCCCGCCGCCGUCUGUGUCCUGUCGUUAAAAGGUUUCAAAGGACGACGGAAUGCCAAUGAACACAGAUCCGCCGCCCGCCGCCGCCUUUGUCCUGACGUUCCGGCCGUCGGUCAGUGAUGAAGGUCUCUGGUUCAGACGACGAUGGAUGGUGGCGAUGGUGGUCGAUCUGUGUAUCGUUGUCACGUUUAACAGCGAAUGGAGUGUCGCUGACCACCCACCUUAGACCAGCUUUGGUCGACUUGGUUCAGACUUUCUUCUCUUUUCUCUGGUACAAGUGAUUUAAGUACCAACAGAGAGAUUGAGAUUGCCUGAUCAUGGGUUUUUCCGAUUGGCUGUGAUGAGUUCAAAUUCUUUUUUCAAAAAUUGUUGAGGAUGGCGUGGCAAGGAUGAUGGAUGGUGAGUUUUGACCUGCAACCCGUCUUGCAGCCCUGAUUUUUGAAAGCUCUGAGCCACAGAAAACUCGAUUUUUGCUUGGGUUGAAGAUGAAUGUGAUGGAUUCGAUUGCUCCUCACUUAAAGCUACUCUUUAAAGAAUUGAUUAUUAUGGUUAUAACGGCAAAUGCAAUGGUGUGGAUGGGUGUUGGGUAGUCAUGGCUACUGUUUGAUC